rnacentral:RNase_P_RNA from 1 species
GAGGAAAGUCCGGACAACACAGAGCAACUCACUUCCUAACGGGAAGGCUCCGUUCAGGCGGAGACAGCAAGUGCCACAGAAAAUAUACCGCCUUGUCUUUGAUGAGGUAAGGGUGAAAACGUGAGGUAAGAGCUCACGGUAUUGCAUGGCGACAUGGAUUACGGUAAACCUUGAGUGUUGAAAGACCAAAUAGGUUACGAAACUCGAAGGCUGCUCGUCUUCUUUUACUUCGGUAAGAUUCGUAAUGGGUAGGUUGAUGGAGUCUGUCAGCAAUGGCAGAUCUAGAUAAAUGAUAGAAAACCGAUUUUUCGGUGUACAGAACCCGGCUUA